rnacentral:rRNA from 1 species
GACGAACGCUGGCGGCGUGCUUAACACAUGCAAGUCGAACGGAAAGGCCCUGCUUUUGUGGGGUGCUCGAGUGGCGAACGGGUGAGUAACACGUGAGUAACCUGCCCUUGACUUUGGGAUAACUUCAGGAAACUGGGGCUAAUACCGGAUAGGAGCUCCUGCUGCAUGGUGGGGGUUGGAAAGUUUCGGCGGUUGGGGAUGGACUCGCGGCUUAUCAGCUUGUUGGUGGGGUAGUGGCUUACCAAGGCUUUGACGGGUAGCCGGCCUGCGAGGGUGACCGGCCACAUUGGGACUGAGAUACGGCCCAGACUCCUACGGGAGGCAGCAGUGGGGAAUAUUGCACAAUGGGCGGAAGCCUGAUGCAGCAACGCCGCGUGCGGGAUGACGGCCUUCGGGUUGUAAACCGCUUUCGCCUGUGACGAAGCGUGAGUGACGGUAAUGGGUAAAGAGGCACCGGCUAACUACGUG